rnacentral:tRNA from 1 species
GCGUUGGUGGUGUGGUGACGAGCACAGCUGCAGUUGACCUGGGUUCGAUUCCCGGCCGACGCA